rnacentral:rRNA from 1 species
GAUGAACGCUGGCGGCGUGCCUAAUACAUGCAAGUCGAGCGAACGGACGAGAAGCUUGCUUUUCUGAUGUUAGCGGCGGACGGGUGAGUAACACGUGGAUAACCUACCUAUAAGACUGGGAUAACUUCGGGAAACCGGAGCUAAUACCGGAUAAUAUUUUGAACCGCAUGGUUCAAAAGUGAAAGACGGUCUUGCUGUCACUUAUAGAUGGAUCCGCGCUGCAUUAGCUAGUUGGUAAGGUAACGGCUUACCAAGGCAACGAUGCAUAGCCGACCUGAGAGGGUGAUCGGCCACACUGGACCUGAGACACGGUCCAGACUCCUACGGGAGGCAGCAGUAGGGAAUCUUCCGCAAUGGGCGAAAGCCUGACGGAGCAACGCCGCGUGAGUGAUGAAGGUCUUCGGAUCGUAAAACUCUGUUAUUAGGGAAGAACAUAUGUGUAGGUAACUGUGCACAUCUUGACGGUACCUAAUCAGAAAGCCACGGCUAACUACGU